ACAAAUUUUCUCUUUCAUGAUUGCACUAUGUCAGACUACUGCAAUAAAAUCUUGUAUUCCGAUACCACCGCAUCCCGUUUUUUACGAUACACUUGUUACCGUGGCGACGACAACAAGAGUGGAUCGUGCCGACUAUAUUAUAAGGAGAAAAUGGGGGGAAACGUGUGGAGAUUCGUUUCAGGAUAGCUUGAGACUGACGUGGAUACUUUCCGCAAUGGUUGGGACAACCAUCCACUGAGAAUGGAGAGCCACAUGACCCCUAACCAGCUGUGGGAGCUCGGUCGCACAUAUUAUUCACUUCCAGGACCAGAUAACACAGAGGGCAUGGAUAUUGCUGACAUUGACUGGGAUAACAGUGGACUUCCUUGUGAUGACCACAUGAGCAUCGUCGUUCCACACACAGCAUGCCCACUGACCGAUGGACAACUGAUAUCUUUAAGAGAUGCAGUUGACCCAAGAGCUGCAUCUCAGUCCUUUGGCAGCGAUAUUUACAUUGCUGCUGUUCAAUUUUGUGAGCAAUUUCAUGAACUCUGAAUGAACUGAUCACAGACUUCAGUUUUGUAUUCAUCUUUAAAUAUUUUUGCAGAUUUUCAUCCCCUUCAGUUAUCCUUGAAAAGUACAAUUGAGUUCACUUUAAACUUUUGUCUCCAUAUUAAUGGUUUAUUUGAGUGCAGAAAUUGACAAGGAAUACGUUGUCACUCAUACCAAAACCAGCAUGUAACCACAUUUUUCUGUGAAAGCUGAGCUUGACAGAUGUUUUGUGAUAAUACAAAGAGCUUUAAAUUCUGUAACAAUGUGAAAAUAAAAUCAGUGCAGUUCACCUUUUAACAACUUCAAUAUUUUAAACAUCUUAACAGAUUAACGACAGCAUCUGUGGGUUGCCAUUCAAGCUGUAGUUCAAAUACAAUUCAAACAAUGAGUCUUUGAAGUCGGCUCCAUAUUAUCAGAUAAAUUUGAACAAGCUUAAAAACAUUUAAACAAGUAAAACAUUUGAGCUAAAACAACCUUGUCUGAGAAGUGUAAAUAGAGGCCCAGUUGCCACUCACACAAGACAAAAUCGUGUAUGACAAGUGCAAAUACAGGCCAGGAUAUCUUGUUAAUUCAGGUGGUGUUGCUAUGCUAAAACAGACAGUUUACGUUGAAUAGAAAAUGAGCCAACCCCUUAAGACAAGUGAACCUGCAAUUAGCUAUGAACUCUGUCGCAGAUAAACUGAUAUGCGGCACUUGGUUUCAGUGGAAACAUCACAUCAUCACUGUCAUUCUCACAGGGCCAUGUGAUUUGCUGAAGUAGCUGCAUUGAAAAAAAAUAGCAUUAGAAAGACGAUCAUUUUUUUAUUCUUACAUACUCUUUGAUCAAACAUAAUCGAUUGAUACCCCUGAUGUCCGUUGUGGGUAAUGUAUGUGGGAAGGCAAACAACAACAAGACUGAAAACGAACAGUAAUAGAUGGUGACCAGGUAUGAGUCAAAUAAUAUUUACUACAAAUAUAACACUAAAAGAUCAGAAUAAAUAAAAUGAACCUCAGCACUGACAUUCCCUGGCACGUCUUUAGGAAAAACCAAGGCCACUGUGACAGGUCUUUGGGUCAUCAGUGUCCACAUUGGAGUUUCUUUAAGACCUCGUCUGAGCUGCUUAAUUUGCCUUGUGAUGUGUCCUAUUUUACCUGGUAAUAGCAAUAAGACAGUGAGAACAGAAACCAUCAGGAUAAAGUGCAGCAUUUUAAUUUUGUCAGACUUUUUUUUCUUAUUUUUAUUUUUAGAAACUUUGCAAUGUGCAUUUAUAACCAAAACAACCUAUUACCAUACAAUGCAAAAAACUUUUGUUUUACAAAAGUAAUAUAAAACAAGUUUGCCCCAUUAAGUGGUCCGAACGCGAACCUAGGCCACUGCAGGACUGUAUUUACCCUUUUCAGCAGGCACAUCUUGACAGCAAAGAAUAUUACUGUCAGG